UACACUUUAAAUCCUUUAACGAGGAUCUAUUGGAGGGCAAGUCUGGUGCCAGCAGCCGCGGUAAUUCCAGCUCCAAUAGCGUAUAUUAAAGUUGUUGCGGUUAAAAAGCUCGUAGUUGGAUCUCGGUUUCACUCAGGUGGUACACCUUGCGGUGUUCACUAUCUGGGUGGACGUUUCUGUUGGUUCGCUCUUGGUGCUCUUCAUCGGGUGCCAUUUGGUGGCCAGCACGUUUACUUUGAAAAAAUUGGAGUGCUCAAAGCAGGCGUUACAGCCUGAACAUUAGUGCAUGGAAUAAUGGAAUAGGAUCUCGAUUCUAUUUCGUUGGCUUUCGGAGUCGAGGUAAUGAUUAAUAGGGACAGACGGGGGCAUUCGUACUGCGACGUUAGAGGUGAAAUUCUUGGAUCGUCGCAAGACGAACUACUGCGAAAGCAUUUGCCAAGAAUGUUUUCAUUAAUCAAGAACGAAAGUUAGAGGUUCGAAGGCGAUCAGAUACCGCCCUAGUUCUAACCAUAAACGAUGCCAACCGGCGAUCCGUCGUCGUUAAUUGAAUGACUCGACGGGCAGCCUCCGGGAAACCAGAGUGUUUGGGUUCCGGGGGAAGUAUGGUUGCAAGCUGAAACUUAAAGGAAUUGACGGAAGGGCACCACCAGGAGUGGAGCCUGCGGCUUAAUUUGACCCAACACGGGAAAUCUCACCAGGCCCGGACACCGGAAGGAUUGACAGAUUGAGAGCUCUUUCUUGAUUCGGUGGGUGGUGGUGCAUGGCCGUUCUUAGUUGGUGGAGCGAUUUGUCUGGUUAAUUCCGAUAACGAACGAGACUCUGGCCUACUAACUAGAAGGUCUAUCCUUUAUGGGUAGGCCUCUGCUUCUUAGAGGGACGGGCGGCGUUUAGCCGCACGAGAAUGAGCAAUAACAGGUCUGUGAUGCCCUUAGAUGUUCUGGGCUGCACGCGCGCUACACUGAAGGAAUCAGCAUGUUCUCCCCUCCCUGAAAAGGGCGGGUAACCCGUUGAAACUCCUUCGUGAUGGGGAUUGGAGAUUGUAAUUAUUCUCCAUGAACGAGGAAUUCCCAGUAGGCGCGAGUCAUCAGCUUGCGUCGAUUACGUCCCUGCCCUUUGUACACACCGCCCGUCGCUACUACCGAUCGAGUGAUUUAGUGAGGACUUCGGACUGGUCUUCAAGUUGGCUUCGGUCGGCUCGAAGUUCCGGAAAGAUGCCCAAACUUGAUCACUUAGA
rnacentral:rRNA from 1 species